rnacentral:rRNA from 1 species
GUCAAAGUUAAAAGGGCCGGUAAAACUCGUGCCAGCCACCGCGGUUAAACGAGAGGCCCAAGUUGAUGGAUGCCGGCGUAAAGCGUGGUUAAAAAACAAAAAUACUAAGACCAAAUACUUUUAGCACUGUUAUACGUAUGCAAAAGCUAGAAGCCCAACUACGAAAGUGGUCUUACCUACCCUGAACCCACGAAAGCUGCGAUACAAACUGGGAUUAGAUACCCCACUAUGCCUAGUCGUAAACA